AUGGAGACGGGGCAAAAAACGCGGCUCCGCGCGGUCCCGCCCGCAGCUGCUGCCCGAUCCCCUCCGAAGCAGCAGCAGCAGCAAGGAGAAACGCACCGCGCCAGCAGGCAAAUAAAUAAACUUGAAUGCAGCGGCAGGCAGGGAGGGAUCGCGGAGAGCGACGAGGAUUGGAGGGGCAAAAGUCAGUUUUGCAAAAAAAAAAAAAAAAAGGAAAAAAAAUGCUUUAUGGGAGGAAAAAAAAAAACCUUCGCGCAGCCACGCCCCCUCGCCAGGGCCGGUCCCUCCGAUGAGUGCGGACCCGGCGGCGGCGGCCCCGGGGAGCAGUGGCGUGACGCGGGACUGCGGGAACGCGCGCGCGUGCGUGCGGUGGCGGCGCGCCCCGUGCGUGCGUGCCCGAGACGCGGGGGAGGCCGGGCGCCUCGUGCCCGCGCGGUGCGGCGGGGCGGGGCGGGGCUCACCGCGCCGUUUGAUUACGGAUCGAUUUUUUUUUUUUUUUUUUUUUUUUUUUUUUUUUUUUUUUCAGUUUUUGCACCCCUAGCCCAUUGGCUCGUAGCUCGAGACAAGGGGGAGGCGGCGCGGCCGCCGUGGGGCUCUCCUCCCGCGUGCCCUACCCUCCAAGACCUGGCUGAUGGAAUUACCGGCAGGGUGGAGCGCUGCCCGGCAGUCCGUUGCCAACAGAGCUGUACGGCACGGAGCAGUGCCGGCGGGCAAGGCACGACUCGGCACAGCAAGGCACGAAACUCCCUCCCCCCUGCCGGCGGAGGCCCCGCAGCCCCGGGCAGGGGUUUUUCUCAACGUGCAAAGAUUAAUCCUCACAACCCGGCCUCACCGGCAUUUUCCCAGCACAGGAUUCCUUUGCCCUCCUUUCAGAAUUAACCAAGGGAAAGGACACACUGAAGUUGAGAAGAAAUACCCCAGUUCCUUCAUUUUUAUUCCUUCUCGUUUUAGCAGAGGAUAUGUGCCAUUUUCAAAUCUUUCUCAUUCCAGGCCCAGAGGUCUGUCUGAGCUUUGUCUCCCCGCGGUUGCCCCAGCCCGCUCACUGCACUCAGGGCUGCAGCCACCGGGUCCCCCCACCCAAUGGCCCAGUACUGCACCCAACAGCAAACCACAAACAUUUCUCUUAUGUUUUCAUUAAAAACAAACCAACAUCCUUGCUUUCUCCUUUGUGUUCACUAAUGUCCAUGUAUAGGAAAGGGCACGAACAGCAGAUGCAUAGGAAUCACUGCUACAGUAGAAGAAAAGUGAAACAAGCUUUUUUUCUUUUAUUUUUUCCUGAAUAAAAGUUUUCAGCUUUGUUUGUUGGGGGAGGCU
rnacentral:lncRNA from 1 species